rnacentral:rRNA from 1 species
GGAUUAGAUACCCUGGUAGUCCACGCCCUAAACGAUGUGAACUUGACGUCGGGAAGUUUUCUUUUCGGUGUCGGAGCUAACGCAUUAAGUUCACCGCCUGGGGAGUACGGCCGCAAGGUUAAAACUCAAAGGAAUUGACGGGGACCCGCACAAGCGGUGGAGUAUGUGGUUUAAUUCGUCGCAACGCGAAGAACCUUACCAGGACUUGACAUCCUAAUCGCGAGGACCAGAGAUGGACCUUUUCAGUUCGGCUGGAUUAGUGACAGGUGCUGCAUGGCUGUCGUCAGCUCGUGCUG